rnacentral:lncRNA from 1 species
CAGGGGUGGGGUGGUGGGUGACUGCCCCUCUUCUUAACAGCCCCCAAAGCCAACUCAGUUCUGGUCCUCACUGUACCAUAACAGAACCCUUCAUAGGAGAAACUGGAUUUUUUAUUCAACACUAAAAGCAAGCCUGCAAAUAUCUAUACAGAGCCCAUGCUGCUGCUGCUGCUGCUGCUGCUGCUGCUGCUGCUGCUGCUGACUGAACCCAAAGCAUCAGGCAUGCUAAGCAUGCUCCCCGCCACUGGGCUCACCCCCAGUCCCCCAGCCUGGUAUUAUUAUUUAUCAAAGCUCCAGAAAUGUACCCCGUACCAAACCAAAUAUCUGCUACAACAAAUGACAUGGCUCCGUGAGAAAAAUUCCCUGAAUAUCAAGCCAGAAACCCAUCAGGAGGGGGAGAGGACGAAAACUGGGGGCGGUUUUCCUUCCUGGAGGGACAAGCUUGGAGAAGGGACAAGCCUAGCCCAUCCUCCGUGCAGGCUGCCAGGAAGCCCCGGGCCCACCGGGCGAGGCGCGGGGAGGCAGGAGCGCCCACGGAGAGUCCCUCGGAAAGUCCUCGAAGCAGGUGAAGUGUGGGCUCUGGAAGGAAACGGGGGCAGCCCCGCGGCUCACCCUGGGAAUCAAGAGUUGGCGGGGGAGGGGAGGGCGUGCCGCGGGGGCAGAGAGAUGUGGCUGGAAGCCCCAAGGGGACCUGCUCCCAGCUGGCUCUCCACUUCGAUGGCACCUUUCAAAGCCAUGCCUAGACCCUGGGAUAAAGGGAUGAGAGGCCCCGCGACCAGGGUGCGGCUCCUCCCCCGCUUUUGAGGUCCGUGAAGCCGAGGCUCCCGGCCGCGCCCCCGACCGCGGGCAACCGCGCUCGCUGACCGCGGUCGGUUCAUUCAUGGAUGACCCUUUCGAGGAAGCAGAAGGAACUAAAGGCCCAGCCGGGCUUGCGAGAAAGUCAGAUUUCUUCAUUAAGGUUUAAGUCAACUUAAUUAAGUCAAUUUGACUUAAUUCAGAAGCCGUGGAACCAGGAGAAAGCUGGAUUCUCUCUCUCACUUGGUUCCCAAAGCCAAGGAACCAUCCUUAGUGGGAAACUUCCCUCCAGGUGCGGCCGAUGGCCCGUGCCCAUCACUUGCAGAGGGGCUGGCUGCUGACAUCCAAGGCCGGUGGUUCAUCAUGGAAAAAAACCACACCCUUGUCAGAUGGAGACCCUGAACAGCUCCCUGACCUGGAGGGCUGUUAAUUGACAGUGGCUUAGGGCCCAGAUGGGAGGAGGGAAUCCCAGACAGGACAA